GGAGAACACAAGAUGUGAAGAAAACAUGAAAUCAAGGAAAUGAGCACAAUGAGAAAGACAGUAAAAGCAGAGCACCUGGAUGAACAAUUGGGAUUUCCGAAAAGGAAAGCGUAGGCUAAAUUACGUCGAAUAUGGAUGAAUAUUGUCAAAUACAAAGAAAA